ensembl:lncRNA
UGUAUUAAACUGAGAUAUUUUACUGUUUCAUGAGAUCAUUUUGUAUUUGAUGGCAGCAGAUCUCAGGUCAGUGACAUGAUCGGGUACAAAGAGUCUGAGAGAGGCCGAGUUUCUCUGAAAUAAACAAGUUGAUCAGUCUGCACAUCUGCAGAGGCUCCAUCAGAGCUGACAGGUGGAUGCAGAGGAAACAUGAGCCCGUCCAGCGUUUACAGACGUGUUGCUGCCAUCAGAUUCAAAAUGAGCUCUCUCAGUUUAAACAUGUGAAAUGUUUUCUAUCUUCUAUUGUGAAUAAAAUGUGGCUUCAUGAGAUUUGAACAUUAUUUGACACCAACGACCUUUUUGCAGCUGUAAAUGUUUAGUUUGUCACAACCAGAUCAAAAAGUAAGAACUUGUUGUGAUUUGUGUAAAAUGUGUGAGGCUGAGUUCCUGCUGUCACUGAUGCAGCUCACAUGUAUCAGCCUCACCCUCCUCGUGCUUCAUGCUGCCUGGAUUUAAUCCUCACUUCCUUUCUGUGGCUCUUUGUAAGAUCUCUGAUCACUUUCAUUAAAGUUCUCACUGACUGUUGGAUCUCUUCAUAUUUUACAGUGAUGAGAUUUUCUGCUUCUGAGGAAGUGAAGAAGAACCUGACGGGCACUGUGGGAGGAAACAUCACUCUACCUGCACCUGUGCAGGAGAAAGCAUUUCUGUCAUAUGGAGGAAAGAAUAUUGCUGAUGUGAAUAAGGGGGAAUUUGAAAUAUUUGGGGAAAUUUACAUGAACCGACUUCAGUGGGACAGAAACUCUGGACUCUUUACACUCACAGAGCUGCAGAGGGACGACUCAGGGAUUUAUACUGUCGACUCUAAAACAGGAAACGUUUUCACAUCAUCAUAUAAGCUGACAGUGUACGACUCUGUACCGACUCCUGCAGUGAAGAAAGUGAGUGUGAGCUCUGAGAGCUGCUCCUUACUGUGUUUGGUGGACAGAGAGACCAAACUGCUGUGGUUUAAAGACGAGCAGAGACUGAACCAGAGCAGCUCUGCGCUCUCUCUGCCUCUCACUGUGCACAAACAGGACUUCAACUCCUCUUACAGAUGUGUGGCUGCAAACCCUGCAGAGAAUAAAACUCUUCCUGUCCAUGUGAGAACGACCUGUGGAGACACCAACAACGACACCAACAGCUCGACUGAACCAAGAAGCUAUAACAUCCUCAUUAUAAUCUUCUGUGUCCUGAGUGCUACCCUCAUCAUCAUCAUCAUCAUCCUCAUCAUGAGGAGGAAGCAUCCUGUCCAAGACAAGUUUAACCUCCUACAAGCUGCAGGCAGGGCUCCUGUGGAUGAAGUGGUCCUUUAUACUGACACAGGUGACAGCAGACAGGUGGGUACCUGCUCACACCGUCAGCUCAGAGCUCAUGUUCAUGCAGCUCAGUGGAAGCUGACUACAUGCAGACACACGACAAACACAUGAAACACUAAAGUCAGGAGUGUGUUGGAGUCACAGUUCUUCUGCUGGAACAUGAACUUCCACACAGAUCACAUUCUCCCUCUGGCUGCUCUCCACCAGGAGAAGAAGCUGUCUCCCACUUCCAUGUUUCACUGCGUUGCUCAUUCCCGUGUUUUUCCUUCUCCAGGGUGGGAUUUUAGCGGCUGUAUCAGGAACCAGUGAUGGCUCCAGUCUGACAGCAGUGUCUUAUAAACUGGUGCUCGUCACAUGAGAGAGGUGUGACUGGCUGCAACAUCCGAGGAAAGCUGGACUCUGGAAAGAAGUUUUCCUUUGGUAUUGAUGAUUUGGAUUGGUUAUGACUAAAGUGUAUUUUUACAGUGUGAAUGUGCCACAGAAGAGUUUUCACCUACGUCAUCAUGACCUCUGACCUGCUCCUCUGACACUGAUCGUAAAAGACUGUAUCCAGACAAUGGACAGAGGACGCAGCUGUACGUCAUGUUUACCUGUCAAAUCAUUCAAAUGAUGCAACAAAGCAAAGACUUUUCUCUCUGUCACCUACCUGCUGCCUUGAGUCCUCUCUCCUCGCAUCUCUUCCUCGCCUCCUCUGUUUGCAUCCUCAGAGGGAGGGUCAAGGAUGAGGGGAGAGGAGGUGAGGGAAGGAAACUCGCCUGUACCAGGUGAGAAGACGGACUUUGGAAGAAUCUGAGGUGAACCUUCACGUCUCCUCUUCAUGGUUUACCUUCAUGGACUCUGAAGGCCUGGUAGUAGGUCUGGGACUAGUAGGACCAGGUCUGUGUGUGAGGAGGAGCAGCUGGGCUUGGAAGAAAGGAGCAGAGACUGAAUCACAUUUGAUUCUGAUCAAUAUUCCUUUAAAGGUUUAUUUGUGAUGUGACUGCAUGUAGAUCUCCAGGACGAGCCUCACUGCUGCUCUGAGGACUGAAAGCUUCACUGAGCUCUGAUUUAUUUCUCUGCUUUUAAUUCACACCUUUAAUUUCACACUUUUGUCCACAGUUCAAACUCCAGCAGCUCACAGAGCUCAUCACUGCCUCCGUCAGCUCACAGGGCGCCCCCGUGUGGUCACUGACGAGCUGUUCACAAAUUACUUUUAGAUUUGAUGUCAUUUAUUCUCAUCUUCCUGACUGUUGCUGCAAAUACAUGAAAUAAAUAACAGAAGCUUUGUGAGUGUUUCUGAACUCUUCCUACUUUUUGACUUCCAAACCUAAAACAGGAAACAUCCACACACAUCCUCAGCUCCACGUGGAGCAGAUCAAAAUGACCAUAGCAAAGAGCUAACGGUUCACACAGUGCAGAGCUGCUUAUUUCCUGCAGUUAGUGACGUUUGGAGCACAGCUGCUGUCA